rnacentral:tRNA from 2 species
ACUAUUUUGGCAGAUUAGUGCAAUAAAUUUAGAAUUUAUUUAUGUGAUGUUAUAUUACAAAUAGUA